UUUUCCCCCACUUCACACCCAAAAUGAACCACAGAUGCAGUUUUCCCUCAGAUUUACCCCAAAAAGGGACUGGAGAACCCCCUUUUCCCCCACUUCACACCCAAAAUGAACCACAGAUGCAGUUUUCCCUCUGUUUUACCCCCCAAAAUGGGGUGGAAAAUCCCCCUUUUCCCCCAUUUUACACCCAAAAUGGACCACAGAUGCAGUUUUCCCUCUGUUUUACCCCCCAAAAUAGGACUGGAGAACCCCUUUUCCCCCCAUUUUACACCCAGAAUGGACCAGAGUUGCAGUUUUCCCUGUUUUAGCCCCCAAGAAGGGACUGGAGAACCCCUUUUCCCCCCAUUUUACACCCAAAAUGAACCACAGAUGCAGUUUUGCCUCAUAUUUACCCCAAAAAGGGACUGGAGAACCCCCUUUUCCCCCACUUCACACCCAAAAUGAACCACAGAUGCAGUUUUCCCUCUGUUUUACCCC